UACGAAGGGAGCUAGCGUUGUUCGGAAUCACUGGGCGUAAAGCGCACGUAGGCGGGUCGCUAAGUCGGGGGUGAAAUCCUGGAGCUCAACUCCAGAACUGCCUUCGAUACUGGCGAUCUUGGAGUCCGGGAGAGGUGAGUGGAACUCCGAGUGUAGAGGUGAAAUUCGUAGAUAUUCGGAAGAACACCAGUGGCGAAGGCGGCUCACUGGUCCAUUACUGACGCUGAGGUGCGAAAGCGUGGGGAGCAAACAGG
rnacentral:rRNA from 1 species